AACGAACGCUGGCGGCAGGCCUAACACAUGCAAGUCGAACGCCGUAGCAAUACGGAGUGGCAGACGGGUGAGUAACACGUGGGAACGUACCCUUCGGUUCGGGAUAACUCAGGGAAACUUGAGCUAAUACCGGAUAAGUCCGAGAGGAGAAAGAUUUAUCGCCGAGGGAUCGGCCCGCGUCUGAUUAGCUUGUUGGUGAGGUAACGGCUCACCAAGGCGACGAUCAGUAGCUGGUCGAGAGGAUGAUCAGCCACAUUGGGACUGAGACACGGCCCAAACUCCUACGGGAGGCACCAGUGGGGAAUAUUGGACAAUGGGCGCAAGCCUGAUCCAGCCAUGCCGCGUGAGUGAUGAAGGCCCUAGGGUUGUAAAGCUCUUUUACCCGGGAAGAUAAUGACUGUACCGGGAGAAUAAGCCCCGGCUAACUUCGUGCCAGCCGCCGCCGU
rnacentral:rRNA from 1 species